rnacentral:rRNA from 1 species
GAUGAACGCUGGCGGCGUGCUUAACACAUGCAAGUCGAACGAAAAGGCCCUGCUUUUGUGGGUUGCUCGUGUGGCGAACGUGUGUGAAACACGUGAGUAACCUGAACUUGUCUUUGGGAUACCUUCUGGAAACUGGGGAUAAUACCGGAUAGGAGCUCCUGCUGCAUGGUGGGGGUUGGUAAGAUUCGGCGGUUGGGGAUGGUCUCGCGGCUUAUCAGCUUGUUGGUGGGGUAGUGGCUUACCAAGGCAUUGACGGGUAGCCUGCCUGAGAGGGUGACCGGCCACAUUGGGACUGAGAUACGGCCCAGACUCCUACGGGAGGCAGCGGUGGGGAAUAUUGCACAAUGGGCGGAAGCCUGAUGCAGCAACGCCGCGUGCGGGAUGACGGCCUUCGGGUUGUAAACCACUGUCGCCUGUGACGAAGCGUGAGUGACGGUAACGGGUAAAGAAGCACCGGCUAACUACGUG